CUUAACUGUGGAAUUGCCUUUGAUACUGCAUAUCUUGAGUCUGGUUGAGGUAGGCGGAAUGUAGUAUGUAGCGGUGAAAUGCAUAGAUAUACUACAGAACACCCAUUGCGAAGGCAGCUUACCAAACCAGCACUGACGCUCAGGCACGAAAGCGUGGGGAGCAAACAGGAUUAGAUACCCUGGUAGUCCACGCCGUAAACGUUGAUCACUCGUUGUUGGCAAUAUACCGUCAGCGACUAAGCAAAAGCAUUAAGUGAUCCACCUGGGGAGUACGAUCGCAAGGUUGAAACUCAAAGGAAUUGACGGGGGCCCGCACAAGCGGAGGAGCAUGUGGUUUAAUUCGAUGAUACGCGAGGAACCUUACCCGGGCUUAAAUGUAGAGUGCAUGGGCGAUGAAAAUCCCCUUUCCUUCGGGACCC
rnacentral:rRNA from 1 species